rnacentral:RNase_P_RNA from 1 species
GCAGAGGCGCGGAUGGUCGCUUCAUGCCGGGAGCAUGAAGAGGAAAGUCCGGGCAACUCAGAGCAGCAUAUUUUCUAACGGAAAGCCGGGGGUGACCCCGGGGAUAAUGUGACAGAAAAUUACCGCCCUCCUUGCUUAGCGCCGUUGAGGCGCAGGAGCAGGCGCGGGUAAGGGUGAAAAGGUGGGGUAAGAGCCCACCGGUCUCCGGGGCGACUCGGAGAGCCGCACAUCCUAUGCGUUGCAAGGCCAAGUAUACCGGCAGUUAAGGAUGGCUCGUCCAUUGCCGGGGGGUAGGCCGCUAAAGUCGGCGGGCAACCGUCGGACUCAGAUAAAUGACCGUCAGCUCCCCUUUCUCUGUUUGUUCCCCUCUACGGUGAACUCGAGUUUCGGGCGCUACAUAACCCGGCUUAUAACGCCUCUGCCCUU